rnacentral:rRNA from 1 species
UGGAUCCAGACUUUGAUUAUGGCUCAGGAUAAACGCUGGCGGCGCACAUAAGACAUGCAAGUCGAACGGAGAUCGUUACAAAAAGGAUUGAAGAUUUAUCUGAUUGAUAUUUUGUAACAAUGGUCUUAGUGGCGGACUGGUGAGUAACGCGUAAGGAACCUGCCUUUUAGAGGGGAAUAACAAUGAGAAAUCAUUGCUAAUACCGCAUAUGCCAUAGGUACCACAUGGUACUAGUGGGAAAGGAGCAAUUCGCUAGAAGAUGGCCUUGCGUCUGAUUAGAUAGUUGGUAAGGUAACGGCUUACCAAGUCGACGAUCAGUAGCCGGACUGAGAGGUUGAACGGCCACAUUGGGACUGAGAUACGGCCCAGACUCCUACGGGAGGCAGCAGUCGGGAAUAUUGCGCAAUGGAGGAAACUCUGACGCAGUGACGCCGCGUAUAGGAAGAAGUUUUUCGGAAUGUAAACUAUUGUCGUUAGGGAAGAGAAAGGACAGUACCUAAGGAGGAAGCUCCGGCUAACUACGUGCCAGCAGCCGCGGUAAUACGUAGGGAGCGAGCGUUAUCCGGAAUUAUUGGGUGUAAAGGGUGCGUAGACGGGAUAGCAAGUUAGUUGUGAAAUCCCUCGGCUUAACUGAGGAACUGCAACUAAAACUAUUAUUCUUGAGUGCAGGAGAGGUAAGUGGAAUUCCUAGUGUAGCGGUGAAAUGCGUAGAUAUUAGGAGGAACACCAGUGGCGAAGGCGACUUACUGGACUGUAACUGACGUUGAGGCACGAAAGUGUGGGGAGCAAACAGGAUUAGAUACCCUGGUAGUCCACACCGUAAACGAUGGAUACUAGGUGUAGGAGAUAUUAAGUUUUCUGUGCCGUCGCAAACGCAAUA